UGACUUGGUAAAUAGAGGCCGGGGAC
rnacentral:piRNA from 1 species